GGGAACGGCAUCUCAUUACAGAGGGAGGUCAGGUGGCUGGGACAAGGAGGCUAUUUUCGACCUUUGGGAAUUACAGCUGAACGUGAGAUUUGUGUUCGGACAGAGGAAAGCCAUAUCAUUUGGCUUGUUUACACCUUUGGCUAGUGUGAAUAAUGCUGCUAUGAACAAAGACAUGCAGAUACCUGCUGGGGCCCCUGCUCUCAGUUCUUUUCAGAAUACACCAGAAGUAGAAUUGCUGCAUCGUGUGUGUAUCUUGGAAGUCUUUCCAAGUGGGUCGACAGAAGGAUACUUCAAUAAAAAUGGGCAACACCGCUGGACAGCCAUCAGAGCCAUGAAGUCCCUGGCUUAGGGGAAGGCAGA
rnacentral:lncRNA from 1 species